ensembl:lncRNA
UGCAGUUGAAUUUUCAGAAGUCAACGAAAUUGCUUGAGGAAGAAAUGAGUCGGCUAACGGAGAAAAUCCACAGGACGUCUAGCUCGCCCGUUGAGCCUCCAUUCCCCAAAGCACCUUAACACCGUGGCUACACCAGACGCGGAAACUCUGCUUUGCGGACGCGGUGUGAACGCAGCAGAAUUCGAAACCGUUGAAAGCAAUGAGAUUGGCUACACCAGACGCUGAAACUGAGGCCGUUUCUGAAAUGGCAUACUACAUACUGCUCGUAUACUGAUCGUGACGUAAAAGUAUAUACAUCCAGAGCUCACUACGUCGGAUACUGUAUCCCAUAAUGCAACGCGGCACCGUUGGAAAAAAACCGUUGAACAUUUCGAAUAAUGGCGGCGGAAAAUGCGAGCGAUGAAUAUAAAUGGACUGAUGUAGACACCGCAGCUCUCAUCAGUUGGAGAUCUACGAAUGAGGGCAUGUUCACGGGCAGGAGGAAUGCGGCGCAGAAGGGGUUCGAAGAAUUUAUUAAGGUCCAGGGGCUAGAGGGGAAGAUGGAGGCCACCAAAAUUAAAAGGAAAUGGGAGAACCUCAAACAAAAAUAUAAGGAGUUGAAAGCACCCAGGACAGGGGUGAGCACUGAGGGAGGAGAGACCACUGCUGCAUCCUGGAAGUGGUAUGGGCCAAUGGAUGAGGCACUAGGCGGGAGGCCAUCAAUAAGUCCUCCCGUACUAGUGGACUCAUCCGCCCAGGAUGUGGCAGUGGUCUCUCCUCCCUCAGUGCACCCGAGUACCCCAAAUCUGGGCAAAAGGAAGAGGGAGUCUGAAUGGCAGGAAAUAUUAAAGGAAAUCCAGGAGAAGGAGGAAGAAAGAGAGCUAAUUCAGAUAGAAAGAGAAGAAAGGCGAGAGAGAGAGGCGAUUGAAAGAGAGGAUCGGAAGGAGAGAGAGCGGCUGCAGCGUGAGGAGAGGAAAGAGAAGGAAAUGCUGGAAAGA